AAAGAGGCAAACCCUAAGUUUCCGUGUUUAACUUUGACUGUCCGUCUUAUAUGAAUUUUUUUAUAAUUCGUAUUUUCAUUGUUGUUAGAUGAUAAAACAUGAUUAAUAUUUUAUGUGUGACUUGUCUUUUUAUUUUUUUAUAAUUUUUUUAAAUAAGAAGGACGGUCAAACGUUGGAUACGGAAAACAGGAUUUAUUUAUU
rfam:Oryza barthii chromosome 2, whole genome shotgun sequence.